rnacentral:rRNA from 1 species
ACGAACGUUGGCGGCGUGCUUAAUACAUGCAAGUCGAGCGAGAAAACCGGGGCAACUCGGUGAGUACAGCGGCGGAAGGGUGCGUAAUACAUGGAUAACGUACCCCCCUGUUCGGGACAACCCUCCGAAAGGAGGGCUAAUACCGAAUGACGGCGGAAGGCGGCAUCGUUUUCCGUCCAAAGACGCGAGUCGCGGGGGGAGCGGUCCAUGGCCUAUCAGCUAGUUGGCGGGGUAACGGCCCACCAAGGCGAUGACGGGUAGCCGGACUGAGAGGUCGACCGGCCACACUGGGACUGAGACACGGCCCAGACACCUACGGGUGGCAGCAGUAGGGAAUAUUGCGCAAUGGGCGAAAGCCUGACGCAGCGACGCCGCGUGGGGGAUGAAGGCCUUCGGGUUGUAAACCCCUUUCAUGAGGGAAGAACACUGACCUAACCUCAAGAAGAAGCACCGGCUAACUCCGU